UAAUACGUAGGGGGCGAGCGUUGUCCGGAAUUAUUGGGCGUAAAGAGCUCGUAGGCGGUUCGGCAAGUCACGUGUGAAAUCUCCACGCUCAACGUGGAGGCGCCACGUGAGACUGCUGUGACUCGAGUCCGGUAGGGGAGCGUGGAAUUCCCGGUGUAGCGGUGAAAUGCGCAGAGAUCGGGAGGAACACCCGUAGCGAAGGCGGCGCUCUGGGCCGGUACUGACGCUGAGGAGCGAAAGCGUGGGGAGCAAACAGGAUUAGAUACCCUGGUAGUCCACGCCGUAAACGUUGGGCACUAGGUGUGGGGCUCUAUCGACGGGCUCCGUGCCGUAGCUAACGCAUUAAGUGCCCCGCCUGGGGAGUACGGCCGCAAGGCUA
rnacentral:rRNA from 1 species